rnacentral:misc_RNA from 1 species
GAUGAAGAACGCAGCGAAAUGCGAUAAGUAAUGUGAAUUGCAGAAUUCAGUGAAUCAUCGAAUCUUUGAACGCACAUUGCGCCCAUUAGUAUUCUAGUGGGCAUGCCUGUUCGAGCGUCAUUAAGUCCACUUAAGCCCUGCUUAGUGUUGGGAGACUGCUCCAGCGGUGCUACCCUGUAGCUACCCUGCAGCUCCUCAAAGACAGCGGCGGAGUUGUGGUAUCCUCUGAGCUUAGUAACUUGUUCUAGCUUGCGAGUACACCACUUCCCCUGCCGUAAAACCCUUAAUUUUUAAUGGUUGACCUCGGAUCAGGUAGGAAUACCCGCUGAACUUAAGCAUAUCAAUAAGCGGAGGA